AAAAAUUAAUGGGGAUAAAGAGGUGAGUUGAAUGGGGAUAAAGAGGUGAGAUGAAUAGGAGUAACGGUCAUGACAACGGUCAACAACAUUCACGAGAAAGCAAGUUGUCACGCUCGUGACAGCAUGCGUGUUUAAUUAUUAUUAUUUAUUUAUUUUGGUUUUAUUUAUUAUAUUUAUUAUUUUUAUUAUUUUGUUUUUUUUUGUGUCAUGGAUGCUACUUUACUACACUAUAGAAUAUAUUUU
rnacentral:lncRNA from 1 species